GUCCCUGUCACGUAAUGGGUAACGCGUUGGACUUCUAAUUCAAAGGUCGUGGGUUCGAAUCCCUCCUGGGAUG